AGCUCUAGUUUACAUUUAGUUAUUAGCUCAUAUCUUAGCUUAUGUUCUUUAUCUUUGCUUGUCUUAGCUUUUCAUUAAUUUAUGUUUCAAUUUGUAUAAGUUUAGCUUGUGCUCUAGUAUGCUUUAGCUCACCUUAGCCUUCCAUUAGCUUGUGUAGCCUGUGUCUUAGUUUAAGUUUGUAUCUUGUUAGCCUAUUCGUCUUAUAUCUG
rnacentral:lncRNA from 1 species